rnacentral:rRNA from 1 species
UUACGGGAGGCAGCAGUGAGGAAUAUUGGUCAAUGGAGGCAACUCUGAACCAGCCAUGCCGCGUGCAGGAUGACGGUCCUAUGGAUUGUAAACUGCUUUUGUACAGGAAGAAACCCUACUUCGUGAAGUAGAUUGACGGUACUGUAAGAAUAAGGAUCGGCUAACUCCGUGCCAGCAGCCGCGGUAAUA